GGAGAGAUGGCCGAGUGGUUGAAGGCGCACGACUCGAAAUCGUGUGUGCGUGAUGAGCGCACCGUGGGUUCGAAUCCCACUCUCUCCGCCA
rnacentral:tRNA from 2 species